GGCGGAGCCGGAGCGGAAGCGGCAGGGACGUAUCGUGCGCGGGGCCGGGUAAGCGGCGGAGAGCGAGUGAGGGAGAGGCGGAUCCCGGCAGACCGGCACUGGCGGCGAGCGGGGGCCGUUUAUCGACCCGCGCGGCGGUGGGCGGGGCGGGAGGAAACCUCAUGCUGAAACAGAAGAGAAAGUUGCCAAGGGAAGUGCUUACUGCUGUUUCUUCCUUAUUUCUCGCUGUACUGACCAUCUUCAAACCUCUUCCAGGUGCAGACUUAGGAGAGUUUGAGUCAGUGCAAACAGUGUUUAAUCAUUAUACAUUCCUAUCUUGUUUUGAGAGGGAAUACCCUCCCUCCUUAGAUAAGUACAAUCCUGAGUGCUUCAGCUCUGUAAUGUUCAAAAGCCGCUGUUUUCAAGUGGCUAAAAUGCAGUGAAGAUUUAAAUGUGAGUGUUAGAAGGAGAGGGGAGAGCAAAUCUGAACAAAGUGACAAGUAAAUCUUAACCUACAUAACAUCCAUGGGAAAAGCUUUAAAAAAGCCUUAGAGAUGUACAAUUUAACGUGUUUGGUUGGACUUUUCUGGAAUUUAGAUGGAAGUUAAUUAGUGACUAUAAACGAGACAGUCUCGAUACAUGUAUAUAACAUUAUGGGUUAAGGUAAGAGGGCUACAUGCAUAUUCCCCUUCUCUGACAUUGUCACAAGGCUGUCAAGAGACUGGAGUAUGCAGCUCUGGACAGGAUGCAUUUAUCCUGCUUCAUUGAGAUUCACCAGCAUUGGCAUAUGUGCUUUGCGUGGCUUCUGGAUGUAAUAGUUUUGUAGCUGAGGAUAAGAAUGGUUGAAUUUGUCUGGCCAAAUUUCAAGCUAAAUUUUGAACUCCAAGGAGACAGAUGGAUUAAUAGGGUUGUGUCAGCUGUGGCAUUUACAGGGUUGAGUACAGAGCAGACCAAUAACCAACAAGUCAUUAUUUCCAAUCAGUUGCUGUCUCUGGGACAGUCUGACAGUUGCUAUCUAUUACUCAUCGCUACUGGGAAGAAGUCAUUUUGUUCAGUUGUUUGGAGUAAGAUUCACACUGACAGUAUUAACACAUUCAUCUACCAGUUUUCAAAGCAGAACAUCUUUAAUCAGUUGACUGAUUAGUUGUACCUCUAUUUUUGCAUUUUCUGGAAGUUCUGUAGGAAAAAGAUUUGAGAUUAAGUGGUUAUAUAUAUGGAUGUAACAGAUAAGCCUAACUCUUCUCUCAUCUUCCCCUCAAUUACUUUCAUUAAACUGUUUUUUUCCACAGUUGUGGUUACAAUAUUCUAUCUAUCUUGAUUUGUAUGUUUAUCCAAGCAAAAUAGCCUUUAGGAAAGUACUUUAUGUACUUUCAUGCACUUUAUUAUUCUUAGAGUGGCAGCUAUAUUAAUUAAAGAAAAGCAAGAGGAUUUUUAUGUUUAGGCACUCUUGCUUUGAGAAGGUCAUGUAACAGAACAGUUGAAAAAUAUUUCUAUAUAACAGUCAUUGUGAUUCUCAUUUAAUGUCGGGUGGGCUUGAUUUUAUUUUUCCACUGCCUGUCUUUGAGCAAUUGGUUUGUCCCAGUGAUAGAUGAUAUAAAAUAGUACAUUUGAUGUACAUCUCCAUAUAUGAAAUGUAAGAACUUUUUGCUGUGCAUUGCUAUCAUGUCCCUGUAACUGUAUAGAGACAUUAUUAAUCUAGAUAGUUAUUUGAAAGAUUUUGUCCCAGUGUCACCUGUGCUCUACAUAGAUACAUAUAAAAUAUGUAUAAAUAACCAUACUGCAUAUCUGAGCAGCAUUCAGAGUUUUUCCUCAUAUUAUAAUGAAGUUCUAUAUGAUUGUUUUAAGAGUGCCAUCUAGUGCCCAAUGCUUUUCAAUAGGAAUUGUGAUUUUUAAGUUAACGGAGAAUGUUACGAGGUGGUGUUGCAGCAAAGCUAUUGCAUUAUUGUUUUAUAUUACACUAGUAUGGAAUGGCUUAAUAAAAAAAAAUAGACUUUCAACAGAGUAUAAAGAAAAAUAAUUUAAAAUUAUAAUACAAUGACAUUAAUUUCAGCUACAUCACUCUUGAAUUUCACUUUAAAACAGUGUCUCUGUGUGUGUAUGUGCUUUAACAGAGAGGCAAACGUAUACGUGAUAAAACUGUUUUAGGUGCUCAGGAACAUGUUUUUUUAAUAUUGUAUAAUAAAUGUAUUAUAUAAUAAAUGGGAGGUUACUGAUUUAAAAAUGAG
rnacentral:lncRNA from 1 species